UUAACCAAGAAAUGGGCAUCUUCU
rnacentral:piRNA from 1 species